rnacentral:misc_RNA from 1 species
GAACUCUUAUGGAAAACCUUGGAGCUUUGCCCUGUCACACAGACCUGCCGUGUUAUGUUUCUCAACUGGGACUCAUCAUACAGAAACUGAAGAAUGUGCUAGGCCUUAUGAUAGUUCUGCAGGUUUAAGAUGUGCCCAAUCUGGAGAUGAUGAAGAUGAUCAGUCAACUAUUUGUAGAAGAACUAUUAAGUCCAACCCUGGA